rnacentral:rRNA from 1 species
GACGAACGCUGGCGGCGUGCCUAAUACAUGCAAGUCGAACGAGGGGCGGACGGGUGAGUAAUGUCUGGGAAAUUGCCCGAUGGAGGGGGAUAACCACUGGAAACGGUAGCUAAUAUCGCAUACCAUCGGAUGUGCCCUGAUGGGAUUAGCUUGUAGGUGAGGUAACGGCUCACCUAGGCCACGAUCCCUAGCUGGUCUGAGAGGAUGACCAGCCACACUGGAACUGAGACACGGUCCAGACUCCUACGGGAGGCAGCAGUGGGGAAUAUUGCACAAUGGGCGCAAUCCUGAUGCAGCCAUGCCGCGUGUAUGAAGAAGGCCUUCGGGUUGUAAAGUACUUUCAGCGGGGAGGCGUUACCCGCAGAAGAAGCACCGGCUAACUCCGUGCCAGCAGCCGCGGUAAUAC